rnacentral:rRNA from 1 species
GGAGGUAGUGACAAUAAAUCACAAUGCGGAACAAUGUUUUGCAAUUGGAUUGAGAACAACGUACAAACCUUAUCGAUAAACAAUUGGAGGGCAAGUCUGGUGCCAGCAGCCGCGGUAAUUCCAGCUCCAAUAGCGUAUAUUAACGUUGUUGCAGUUAAAAAGCUCGUAGUUGAAAUGAAGGGUGGUUGUGUAAUGAAUACAUUCGUGUAUUUUGUUAUUCUACCACCCUCCUUCUAAAUUCGAUAUAUGAGUAUUAAUUUACUUGUAUAUGGUUUUAGACCUUUACUGUGAGAAAAUUAGAGUGUUCAAAGCAGGCAUUUGCUUGAAUAUAUUAGCAUGGAAUAAUCAUGUAUGAUUUUCAUGAUGUAUUUGAUUGGUUUGGUUCAUGAGAAUAAGGUUAAAAGGGACAGUUGGGGGUAUUCAUAUUCAAUAGUCAGAGGUGAAAUUCUCGGAUUUAUGGAAGAUGAACAAGUGCGAAAGCA